UAAAAAUCAUUAUAAAAAACAUUUAAAAAUUAAAAACAUUAAAAACUCAUUCAUGCCAUUCAUGGCCAGAUCUCACCAGAUCACAAGAGCGAGAUCAACGGCCCCAGGCCUGCCAGAAAAGCCAGGUCUUCACUGCUUUUCGGAAGGCCAAUAGGGUGGGAAUGGUCUGGACCUCAGGAGGUAACUGGUUCCAGAGAGCUGGGGCAGCCAUAGAGAAGGCCCUCUCCCGUGGGCCCACCAGCUGGCAUUGUUUAGCUGACGGGACCUGGAGGAGACCAACUCUGUGGGAUCUUACCGGUCGCUGGGAGCUAUGCAGCAGAAGGCGGUCUCGAAGAUAACCUGGCCCUGAGCCAUGUAGGGCUUUAAAGGUAAUAACCAACACCGUUAAUUGUGACUGGAGACCAAUAGGGAGCCAGUGCAGCUCGCGGAGAAUUGGUAUAAUGUGGGUGUACCUAGGUGCACCCAUGGCAGCUCGUGUGGCUGCGUUCUGGACCAACUGUAGUCUCCGAACACUUUUCAAGGGUAGCCCCAUGUAGAGCGUGUUGCAAUAAUCUAACCGUGAGGUGACAAGGGCAUGAGUGACUGUGAGGAGAGCCUCCCGAUCCAAGUAGGGUCACAAUUGGUGCAUCAGGCAAACCUGUGCAAAGGUCCCCCUAGCCACAGCUGUCAGAUGUUGCUCUAAUCUUAGCUGUGAGUCUAGGAGGACACCCAAAUUGCGAGCCCAUUCUGAGGGGGACAAUUUCUCCCCCCCCCAGAACCAAGGAUGGACAAUCAACAUAGUCUUUAGGAGGCAAUACCCACAGCCACUCAGUCUUGUCUGGGUUAAGUCUGAGCCUGUUGACUCCCAUCCAGACCCUCACAGCCUCCAGGCACCGGCACAUCACAUCCACCGCAUCACUGAAUUGACGCGGGGUAGAGAUAUACAGCUGGGUAUCAUCAGCGUAUUGCUGAUACCUCACCCCAUGUCGUUGGAUGAUCUCCAAAGACAUUCCAAUAUACUGAUCUGAUGUACAUGCUUAGAAGCAUGCAGCUAUUUAUACUCAACAUAUGGGAUUUUUUCAAGGCAACCAUAGUCAAAAUACGGUUUAUAUUUCUGCCUAAGUUUUUCUUUCCAUUUUGAAUUUUAACUUGAAUGCCUGCACAAGGCUAUAUUAUUUGUCAGUCUGAUAUGGGUUCCAAAUUCAGUCUUUCUUUCCUAGUUGUCAUUUCUUCUGACUGGAUGUUCACUUUUUUUUAAAAAAAUCACUUAUUCAAACACUUGUAACUUACUUUCACUUUAAUACUGGUUUCUCAAACUACUUGGGAAUAUUUAUGAUAACUGUGACAUUUAAUCAAUUUAAUUGGGUAGAUUAAUAGAUUUUUUUUCCUAUUAAAAAGCUUAAUAGGUAUUCUAAUUAUACAGGCAGAAUAUUUUUAUAACACACAUAACCAGAGAAAAAUAUACCUGUAUAUCAUUUUAUAUGGGUGCUAAUUAAAAAAAAUGACAAGAUAUACUGUACCAAUAUUGAAGAGUCCUUAUCCUCUUCUCAGUCUCUCUCAGAAAGAAAUGAUUUUCUCAAAUAAGGCUUUCAUCUUGUAGAGUACAAAUACCCUACUGACUUCAGAAAUAGGUUUUUUCUUCACACUUGUGCUAAUUUAAUUAAUAGAUGAAUCCACUAAUUGAUUAUAACAGACAUAGCCAAUCAAUUAUUCUAUUCUGUUAAUCAGGUUUCAGUUCUCAUAUUAGAGUAGCAGCAUAAACAUUUGUAAGACAAAAAAUAAAGCAUCAUUGCAUUUGAAAAAGUUGAAAAACUGCCUGGAGAAUGUCAGAAUAUUCAUGAACUGGAACAGGGACAUAGCAACAAGGUCAGCCAAUGGGAGCUGAGACAAGAAGGAGCCUGGGCGUGGCUCUGUAGCUCUGUGCUCAGCUCUGAAACUAAACUAGUCAGUCUGUUUGCUGAAUUGAAACUGAAACUCAUCUCUGCUGUACUCUGUACUUACAAGCUCUCCUCUCUACCACUGGAGAUUCCAUAAAAUGUCUAAAUGGGCCCACCUGCUCCAGACUGGCUGCAAACUUUUAUACACCUUUUCUAAACUGCUCUGAGUAGUGGAAAGACAGGACAUAAAACCCCAAAAUAAAUCAAGCCAUCAACAAGAUGGACUCAGCUGUUUUUUGAAGUCUCGAUGUUUGCUGGAACACAAAAGAAGGGUUUGAACAGGCUGGAGAAGAAAACCUCCAACUUUCCCUUUGCUGGUAGUACCAUUUCCCGUGAAAGGAUCCGUUAGGCCUAUAUUUGGAGGCAAGCCUUCUGUCAGGUUCCAAAGAGAAGGAAAUAAAAGGAGACAAACCUGGAUGGCUGCUA